rnacentral:tRNA from 1 species
CGGAAUAGCUCAGCUCGGUAGAGCAGCGCAUUCGUAAUGCGUUGGUCGGAGGUUCGAAUCCUCUUUCCGG